GCUACUCUGUGCCUUGCUCAGGGGCGUAACUAUAGGGGAAGCAGGGGAAGAGACUGCUUUGGGGCCCAGACUCACUAGGGGCCCCCUCAGAAGGAAUACUAAAAGAUUUUAUUGUCAGGGCCCCCUCAACAGUAGUAUACAAUGAAAUGAUAUACAAUGACACAGUAGGAAACGGAUGGAACGGCUGGCGGACCUUGUCUGAGAACUCAAUCUUGACUAGCCACAUGAGGUUGCACGUGAUUUUGGGGUUAGCGGAAAAGUUGUGUUUCCUUCAAAAAUUUGCUGUGGGGCCCAGUCAGUCGUAGUU